UAGUUUGAACUCAACUCACUGUGCGUACUCUAAAAACACAGAUAACUGGUGCUGUUGCUUUUCAGCCACAGGCAGGAAAAUGAUUCUUUUCUACAGAAAAUUGAAAGCUGCUGGAGUAAUCUGGUGGUCAUGCUCAUUUGAUUCAUUUCGUGCCAGCUAGUGAAAGCCGAAAGGCAUGUCGAAACAGUCGAAUUCAAUUGAGCUGCUGCGUGCUGUCUCGAAGCAAGCAAUCCAGCCGUUGCGUCAGUCAUUUGGAACAGGAAUCUAAUGGCUGGUCAAUAGGUGGCUGUGAAUAAGUGGCUGAAAUUAUGUCCAUCAGGUAGCGCGAGUGUCUUCACUUCAGAGACGCUUAGCGGCCAUUUUGUUCCAAGACGCAUCAGAAAUGGGUUGUUGGUUGUGACGUUUCUCACGAUGAAAAUUAAAAGGUGAUUUAGCAAGAAGAAACCAAUUGGCCAAAUCAUUCAACUCAGACUUGGAAGUUGGAAGUGCCUGACAUUUCCGAAAUGGCGUGCCUCGUGUGUCUCGCUGUCUGUUCUUAGGCGUACGUCUCAUCCCAUGCAACAUAAAAAAGUAUAACAAACACUUCUUUAAUGCUGGUGGUUACCUUGUUGCAGCCAAAUGGUGAAAGGUAUGACAAAGACAGAUUGAACCGUUGUAUGCUGAAUGCGAUUGCAGUGUAAUCCAGAAGUUGCUGUGCUGUUGUAGCUGAGCUGUUCCAUCUGGGUUCCUGACUUCAAAAAUUUUGUGUUGUCAUUUUCAUCCAUGCAAUAUGAAAUUGCUCUGCCAGUGAUAUUUUGUGUUGCUGUGUUAAAGGUUGAUCUGUUGUCUUUUGAGUUUUCAUUCAAUCAUGCAGUAUACAACUGAAGCAACCUGAUCAAUGUCAGGUUUGAAACAGUCGAGAACUGCUAGAUAAAACAAGCUUUCUGCACCAAACAAAUAAUAACUUGCAUAUAACUUGCAUCA